rnacentral:rRNA from 1 species
UACAGAGGUGGCGAGCGUUGUUCGGAAUUACUGGGCGUAAAGGGCGCGUAGGCGGUUCGUUAAGUCCUGUGUGAAAUCCCCCGGCUCAACUGGGGAACUGCACAGGAAACUAGCGGGCUUGAGUUCGGGAGAGGGAAGCGGAGUUCCGGGUGUAGCGGUGAAAUGCGUAGAUAUCCGGAGGAACACCGGUGGCGAAGGCGGCUUCCUGGACCGACACUGACGCUGAGGCGCGAAAGCUAGGGGAGCAAACGGG